ACGCUGGCGGCGUGCCUAAUACAUGCAAGUAGAACGCUGAAGGAGGAGCUUGCUUCUCUGGAUGAGUUGCGAACGGGUGAGUAACGCGUAGGUAACCUGCCUGGUAGCGGGGGAUAACUAUUGGAAACGAUAGCUAAUACCGCAUAACAGUAGAUGUUGCAUGACAUUUGCUUAAAAGGUGCAAUUGCACCACUACCAGAUGGACCUGCGUUGUAUUAGCUAGUUGGUGGGGUAACGGCUCACCAAGGCGACGAUACAUAGCCGACCUGAGAGGGUGAUCGGCCACACUGGGACUGAGACACGGCCCAGACUCCUACGGGAGGCAGCAGUAGGGAAUCUUCGGCAAUGGACGGAAGUCUGACCGAGCAACGCCGCGUGAGUGAAGAAGGUUUUCGGAUCGUAAAGCUCUGUUGUAAGAGAAGAACAGGUGUGAGAGUGGAAAGUUCACACUGUGACGGUAUCUUACCAGAAAGGGACGGCUAACUACGUGCCAGCAGCCGCGGUAAUACGUAGGUCCCGAGCGUUGUCCGGAUUUAUUGGGCGUAAAGCGAGCGCAGGCGGUUAGAUAAGUCUGAAGUUAAAGGCUGUGGCUUAACCAUAGUACGCUUUGGAAACUGUUUAACUUGAGUGCAAGAGGGGAGAGUGGAAUUCCAUGUGUAGCGGUGAAAUGCGUAGAUAUAUGGAGGAACACCGGUGGCGAAAGCGGCUCUCUGGCUUGUAACUGACGCUGAGGCUCGAAAGCGUGGGGAGCAAACAGGAUUAGAUACCCCUGGUAGUCCACGCCGUAAACGAUGAGUGCUAGGUGUUAGACCCUUUCCGGGGUUUAGUGCCGCAGCUAACGCAUUAAGCACUCCGCCUGGGGAGUACGACCGCAAGGUUGAAACUCAAAGGAAUUGAC
rnacentral:rRNA from 1 species